GAGAGAGGGAGAGAGAGGGGAGGAGAGAGAGAGAGAUAGAGAGACAGAGAGAGAGAGAGGGAGAGACAGAGAGGAAUAGAGAGGAAUAGAGGGAGGGAGAGAGAGAGAGACAGAGAGAGACGGGAGAGAGAGAGAGAGAGAGAGAGCGAGAGAGAGGGAGGUCAGCCUCCCUGGUUUUGGUAACCAGGGAGGCUGACCCUGGCGAUGGUAACCAUGGAUGCUGACCCUGGCCAGACGUUUUGGUAACCAUGGAGACUGACCCUGGCCUGACGUUUUGGUAACCAUGGAAAUCUGCAUCUCAUCUCUAGCUGACACCUUUACUAACAGGUAUUGAUCCUACAGGUCAUCUCUAACAGGUAUUGAUCCUGCAGGUCAUCUCUAACAGGUAUUGAUCCUACAGGUCAUCUCUAACAGGUAUUGAUCCUACAGGUCAUCUCUAACAGGUAUUGAUCCUACAGGUCAUCUCUAACAGGUAUUGAUCGGUGUUCCUUCCACGGGACGGUUGAGCUAACGUAGGCUAAUGCGAUUAGCAUGAGAUUGUAAGUAACAAAAAAAUUUACCAGGACAUAGACAUAUCUG
rnacentral:lncRNA from 1 species